UUUAGCCCCGCUGUGAUCCCUCACAGACCUUCAACCUGCCCCGCGAGUCUCUAUAACAACAUGCCCACCUCGGCCCUCCUUCCCUCCCACCUCGCUACGACAGACACUGUCGCUGGCCUAUCGCACCGUGGCCGACCCCUGUGCCCUGCCCACCCCAGCGGUCCCUCUCCAGCCCCGCCAGAGCCAAUCCGCAGCGGGGUGUAAAGUAGGGCAAGCCGCUUCCUGGUUCAAGGAGGAGUUGCCUGGAGUUGGAAUGGGCUAGCGGAGUCAGAGAGGGGGGAGAACAGCCCAGCGAGCCGGCGGUCUGCAAAGAGAGAGCCGAGGCAGGGGGAUAUAAACGCCGGCAGAGAGACAAGAAGAAGCUGAUAUUACAGAGAACUCCCGGGCAAUACGUGGUUCGUCAGAGGGACUGGUGUGAGAGUUUGGACAGUCCCGAGAGAGCAGUGACCCCCGGGGAGCGACGAGGGGGGGAGAGAGGCUGGUGGGAGUGAAUCCAGGAAGUACCGAAGCCGGUCAGGUGGGACGCGACGAGAUAACAUAGGUGACACCGGCGCACAGCUUUGUAUCCCUGGAAACCUUUUGGCUCCGCUGGAAAAGAAUAGAAGCAGGAAGAAGUGGAAAAUAGAGAGGGAGGAAGAGAGCAGGGACCCGUCCUCCUCUGAGUUUAUGGACUGGAGCCCUCUCUCUCUCGACCACCGGCCUGCCAGCCUACCAACGCACACCACCCGCCUACUGCCAGGGGGAUGGAAGAGCAGGAAGUGGCAAUACUUUACUUCCUGUAAUGACAGACACCCCUUUAAGAUGAAAAGAGUGUUAAAAAGUAGUGACAGAGAACAUGAUGAGUUUUUCUGGUAAUGGUGUAAAUGUUGGUGUAGAUAGUGAGGGGGCGUUGCUCAUAAACAGGUACAGUGAGCCAGCGGUUCAGGGAAAGAGAGACAAUGACACACCGCAGAGAAUCAUCUCCUGUAUCUUGUUGUGAAAAUGACCCCUAACCUUUUAGAUACAUUUUGAUGAGAAAUGACAGCUUGAUGUUGUAGCUGUUGUAAGUACAGUACCAUGAGAAGGCAGUAUUCCAGACAUUGAGAGUGCGGUAUUCGAUGAGCUCUAAUUCGUUAAGCACCAGUAGAAUUUUCCCCGUCAACGUUUGAAUCUUUAGUCAAAGUGCUGUACUGCUGUAAUUGGACGAGAGAUGGGUGGGUGUUCUGACCAGUGACAGUAAGGCAGACAUUCUGUUGUGUUUCUCAAAGGACAGCUGAAAUAACCGCAUAUUCUAUGUAUCAACCGUUUCAGCCACGGAUUAUAGUAAAAGCAACCGCUCACCCCCCUGUUGACAAAGCCCAGAAAACACUACUACAGUAUCGUCCUGAUGAUGUCAACGAAGUGUUCCGCCUUUUGAGCUUUACGACCUCUGAUUGGGACUGUUAAACUAAACACACACUGUUCGUCACAUGUUGACAUGGUCUGGAGAAGAUAUCAGACUGUCAUUGUUUUUUUAUACUCUAGUUUCCGUUUCCCUGUCCCCUACUGCUAUCAAUAUCUCUCUUUCUCCCUGUCCCCUACCACUAUCAAUAUCUCUCUUUCUCCCUGUCCCCUACCUCUAUCAAUCUCUCUUUCUCCCUGUCCCCUACCACUAUCAAUAUCUCUCUUUCUCUCUGUCCCCUACCGCUAUCAAUAUCUCUCUUUCUCUCUGUCCCCUACCGCUAUCAAUAUCUCUCUUUCUCCCUGUCCCCUACCACUAUCAAUAUCUCUCUUUCUCCCUGUCCCCUACCGCUAUCAAUAUCUCUCUUUCUCCCUGUCCGCUACCGCUAUCAAUAUCUCUCUUUCUCCCUGUCCCCUACCGCUAUCAAUAUCUCUCUUUCUCUCUGUCCCCCACCGCUAUCAAUAUCUCUCUUUCUCUCUGUCCCCUACCGCUAUCAAUAUCUCUCUUUUUCUUCCUGUAGGCAUAUACCGUAUAAGUUAUAUACUGUCUCUUUCUAAUAGCUGACAUGGUUGUUCCUCCUUUACUUUUCUGUCUGUUUUGUCAUCCAUUUAUCUCUCCAUCUCACCUCGUGGUUGUCAGUCCUCACUGCAGAGGAAGAGGAAGCCGAUCAGGAUCAGUUAGUUUUGCGACAUCGGUGUGUGUGUUUGUAGGGGUUUGUGUCUAUGUGCGUGUUUGUCUGUCUGUGUGGGUGUGUAUGUGUCUGUGUGUGUUUGUUUGUAGGGGUAUGUGUCUAUGAGCAUGUAUCUCUGUAUGAGUGUGUGUCUUGUCUGUGUGUGUUUGUAGGGGUGUCUGAGCAUGUAUCUCUGUGUAUGGGUGUGUGUCUGUCUGUGUGGGUGUGUAUGUGUCUGUGUUUGUUUGUAGGGGUAUGUGUCUAUGAGCAUGUAUCUCUGUGUAUGGGUGUGGGUGUGUCUGUGUGUGUGUGUGUUUGUUUGUAGGGAUAUGUGUCUAUGAGCAUGUAUCUCUGUGUGUGUGUGUCUGUGUU